rnacentral:rRNA from 1 species
CGACGAAACUUAAAGGAAAGUUGACGGGGGCCCGGCACAAGCGGUGGAGGUAUGUGGUUUAAUUCGAUGCAACGCGAGAACUUACCUGGUCUUGACAUCCCGGAGACCCUUAGGAAACUAGGGGUGCUUCCAUCUGGAAGAAUCUGGAGACAGGUGCUGCAUGGCUGUCGUCAGCUCGUGUCGUGAGAUGUUCGGGUUAAGUCCCGCAACGAGCGCAACCCUUGCCUUUAGUUGCCAGCAGUUCGGCUGGGCACUCUAAAGGGACUGCCGGUGUUAAACCGGAGGAAGGUGGGGAUGACGUCAAGUCCUCAUGGCCUUUAUGACCAGGGCUACACACGUACUACAAUGGCCGAUACAAAGGGCAGCGACACUGCGAGGUGAAGCCAAUCCCGUAAAAUCGGUCUCAGUCCGGAUUGGAGUCUGCAACUCGACUCCAUGAAGUUGGAAUCGCUAGUAAUCGUGGAUCAGCAUGCCACGGUGAAUACGUUCCCGGGCCUU